rnacentral:rRNA from 1 species
UACGUAGGGUGCGAGCGUUGUCCGGAAUUACUGGGCGUAAAGAGCUCGUAGGUGGUUUGUCGCGUUGUUCGUGAAAUGCCACAGCUUAACUGUGGGCGUGCGGGCGGAUACGGGGCAGACUGGAGUACUGCAGGGGAGACUGGAAUUCCUGGUGUAGCGGUGGAAUGCGCAGAUAUCAGGAGGAACACCGGGUGGCGAAGGCGGGGUCUCUGGGGCAGUAACUGACGCUGGAGGAGCGAAAGCGUGGGGAGCGAACAGG